GGUUAAGCGACUAAGCGUACACGGUGGAUGCCCUGGCAGUCAGAGGCGAUGAAGGGCGUGCUAAUCUGCGAUAAGCGCCGGUAAGGUGAUAUGAACCGUUAUAACCGGCGAUACCCGAAUGGGGAAACCCAGUGUGAUUCGUCACACUAUCAUUAACUGAAUCCAUAGGUUAAUGAGGCGAACCGGGGGAACUGAAACAUCUAAGUACCCCGAGGAAAAGAAAUCAACCGAGAUUCCCCCAGUAGCGGCGAGCGAACGGGGAGGAGCCCAGAGCCUGAAUCAGCAUGUGUGUUAGUGGAAGCGUCUGGAAAGGCGCGCGAUACAGGGUGACAGCCCCGUACACAAAAGCGCAUGUGCUGUGAGCUCGAUGAGUAGGGCGGGACACGUGGUAUCCUGUCUGAAUAUGGGGGGACCAUCCUCCAAGGCUAAAUACUCCUGACUGACCGAUAGUGAACCAGUACCGUGAGGGAAAGGCGAAAAGAACCCCGGCGAGGGGAGUGAAAAAGAACCUGAAACCGUGUACGUACAAGCAGUGGGAGCACAGGUUUACCUGUGUGACUGCGUACCUUUUGUAUAAUGGGUCAGCGACUUAUAUUCUGUAGCAAGGUUAACCGUAUAGGGGAGCCGUAGGGAAACCGAGUCUUAACCGGGCGUUAAGUUGCAGGGUAUAGACCCGAAACCCGGUGAUCUAGCCAUGGGCAGGUUGAAGGUUGGGUAACACUAACUGGAGGACCGAACCGACUAAUGUUGAAAAAUUAGCGGAUGACCUGUGGCUGGGGGUGAAAGGCCAAUCAAACCGGGAGAUAGCUGGUUCUCCCCGAAAGCUAUUUAGGUAGCGCCUCGUGAACUCAUCUCCGGGGGUAGAGCACUGUUUCGGCUAGGGGGCCAUCCCGGCUUACCAACCCGAUGCAAACUGCGAAUACCGGAGAAUGUUAUCACGGGAGACACACGGCGGGUGCUAACGUCCGUCGUGAAGAGGGAAACAACCCAGACCGCCAGCUAAGGUCCCAAAGUCAUGGUUAAGUGGGAAACGAUGUGGGAAGGCCCAGACAGCCAGGAUGUUGGCUUAGAAGCAGCCAUCAUUUAAAGAAAGCGUAAUAGCUCACUGGUCGAGUCGGCCUGCGCGGAAGAUGUAACGGGGCUAAACCAUGCACCGAAGCUGCGGCAGCGACACUAUGUGUUGUUGGGUAGGGGAGCGUUCUGUAAGCCUGUGAAGGUGUGUCGUGAGGCAUGCUGGAGGUAUCAGAAGUGCGAAUGCUGACAUAAGUAACGAUAAAGCGGGUGAAAAGCCCGCUCGCCGGAAGACCAAGGGUUCCUGUCCAACGUUAAUCGGGGCAGGGUGAGUCGACCCCUAAGGCGAGGCCGAAAGGCGUAGUCGAUGGGAAACAGGUUAAUAUUCCUGUACUUGGUGUUACUGCGAAGGGGGGACGGAGAAGGCUAUGUUGGCCGGGCGACGGUUGUCCCGGUUUAAGCGUGUAGGUGUGUGUUCCAGGUAAAUCCGGUUCACUUUAACACUGAGGCGUGAUGACGAGGCACUACGGUGCUGAAGCAACAAAUGCCCUGCUUCCAGGAAAAGCCUCUAAGCAUCAGGUAACAUCAAAUCGUACCCCAAACCGACACAGGUGGUCAGGUAGAGAAUACCAAGGCGCUUGAGAGAACUCGGGUGAAGGAACUAGGCAAAAUGGUGCCGUAACUUCGGGAGAAGGCACGCUGACAUGUAGGUGAAGUGAUUUACUCAUGGAGCUGAAGUCAGUCGAAGAUACCAGCUGGCUGCAACUGUUUAUUAAAAACACAGCACUGUGCAAACACGAAAGUGGACGUAUACGGUGUGACGCCUGCCCGGUGCCGGAAGGUUAAUUGAUGGGGUCAGCGCAAGCGAAGCUCCUGAUCGAAGCCCCGGUAAACGGCGGCCGUAACUAUAACGGUCCUAAGGUAGCGAAAUUCCUUGUCGGGUAAGUUCCGACCUGCACGAAUGGCGUAAUGAUGGCCAGGCUGUCUCCACCCGAGACUCAGUGAAAUUGAACUCGCUGUGAAGAUGCAGUGUACCCGCGGCAAGACGGAAAGACCCCGUGAACCUUUACUAUAGCUUGACACUGAACAUUGAGCCUUGAUGUGUAGGAUAGGUGGGAGGCUUUGAAGCGUGGACGCCAGUCUGCGUGGAGCCGACCUUGAAAUACCACCCUUUAAUGUUUGAUGUUCUAACGUGGACCCGUAAUCCGGGUUGCGGACAGUGUCUGGUGGGUAGUUUGACUGGGGCGGUCUCCUCCUAAAGAGUAACGGAGGAGCACGAAGGUUGGCUAAUCCUGGUCGGACAUCAGGAGGUUAGUGCAAUGGCAUAAGCCAGCUUGACUGCGAGCGUGACGGCGCGAGCAGGUGCGAAAGCAGGUCAUAGUGAUCCGGUGGUUCUGAAUGGAAGGGCCAUCGCUCAACGGAUAAAAGGUACUCCGGGGAUAACAGGCUGAUACCGCCCAAGAGUUCAUAUCGACGGCGGUGUUUGGCACCUCGAUGUCGGCUCAUCACAUCCUGGGGCUGAAGUAGGUCCCAAGGGUAUGGCUGUUCGCCAUUUAAAGUGGUACGCGAGCUGGGUUUAGAACGUCGUGAGACAGUUCGGUCCCUAUCUGCCGUGGGCGCUGGAGAACUGAGGGGGGCUGCUCCUAGUACGAGAGGACCGGAGUGGACGCAUCACUGGUGUUCGGGUUGUCAUGCCAAUGGCACUGCCCGGUAGCUAAAUGCGGAAGAGAUAAGUGCUGAAAGCAUCUAAGCACGAAACUUGCCCCGAGAUGAGUUCUCCCUGAGACUUAGAGUCUCCUGAAGGAACGUUGAAGACGACGACGUUGAUAGGCCGGGUGUGUAAGCGCAGCGAUGCGUUGAGCUAACCGGUACUAAUGAACCGUGAGGCUUAACCUU
rnacentral:rRNA from 2 species